rnacentral:rRNA from 1 species
UACGUAGGGGGCGAGCGUUGUCCGAAGUUACUGGGCGUAAAGCGCGCGUAGGCGGUCUUUUAAGUCUGGUGUGAAAGGUUCAGGGCUCAACCCGAACAGUGCACUGGAUACUGGGAGACUUGAGUGCGGGAGAGGAGAGUGGAAUUCCUGGUGUAGCGGUGAAAUGCGUAGAUAUCAGGAGGAACACCGAUGGCGAAGGCAGCUCUCUGGCCUGCAACUGACGCUGAGGUGCGAAAGCGUGGGUAGCAAACAGG